UCUAUAUAAAGCAAAAUCUCGGGCGGCUAACGUGGCACUUCUCAGGCUCUUAAAUCAAAUUCUCUGCUCUCUGAGCCUCGCUCGCCUAGAACAACUCUUCUGUUCGACUGAUUAAUAUUUCAGUUAAUUAAUGACCUUUUGUUUUCCUAAUCUAUUAAUUAUUUCAGUUUAAAAACCUUUUGCUUUUCAUUACAGGUAACUUUUGAUUUUUCAAUGGUUAAUCAUGUUGUUCAGCCUUUGAUUUCCCACGAUCCGUAGUGUUGUUUGUAUAAUUCAGCCUUUGUCUUCACAUUCACGUGAUCGAGAAGGUUCAUGGUGAUCAGGUCAUUAAAGGCAUCAAUAGCAUCGAUAGAUUGGUGUUCCGUUCCGCCAAGGUCUACAUCAAUGGCCUUCUACAUGUUUGCGAGGAUGUCUCAAUGAAAGAAGAUAACACAACUGUGGUCUUUUCUAAGAGGCUCAGGUUUCCGGUGACCUUCUACAUGUUUGCAAAAAUGUCUUGCAAUGAUUUUUAAUUCGAUGUGAAGGAGCAGAGUAUGGUGGAUGUGUUUGUUAUGAUAGAAGGUUACUGCCAUUUGUUUGUAGAGAGGCUCGAUCUUAGGAUGUUCAGAGGAGGUAUCGGGCUUGAUAUAUGGUUCUACAAGAUGAUGAGAGUUUCCAAAGCUUCGAGAGAUGAGUGCAAUGUUCACAUCACAUUUUGGGAAGGAAUUCUUUGCUCUUGCUGAAUUAAUCCUCCAUGACAAUAGAGUACAGCUGAGGAUUUCCUCCCAGUUCUAUGUAAAAGCUCCUCAUCCUCAAAUGGUACUCCCUCUCAUACAAGGUGAUUAAUAAGUAUUCUCUUUCUCAGGUGGGUGGCUUUUUUAAAGAAUUUUUGGUGUCACUCCAAGUAUUUAGUGUAUAAAUAAGAUACUCUGCUAUCUGGUCAAAAGGACCUGCAUGUGUAAAACCAUAGCAAAAUCAUCUUCAAAAUGUGAAACAAAUGUUUCAAGAGCCUCUGUCACUACUCGCCAGUGUUUAUUCAGAGGGACGGGCAAACUGGACUACGCCAGCUUAUGUUGCUACAAAUGGUAUCUCUAGAUUUCUUUGUUACAACUAAUUUUCCGCAACUAUUUGAGUGUGCAAAGAUGACAACUACACCAAAGAUUUCCAUCGAUAACGGUGACCUGGUAUUGCAUGGGAAAACUGUGCUCAAGGGGGUUCCGGACAAUAUUAUGCUGACUCCAGGAUCUGGAGCUGGACUGGUCUCCAGGGCUUUCAUUCGUGAUAUGAGUAGUAAAUGCAUCCAUGUCUUUCCCGUGGGUGUAUUAGAGUAAGCACCAAAGUUUCCUUCCUAAUUUGCUGUUAUGUCUGUUUGUAAUGAUGUGGUUACUCUUAUCUAUUGCUAUGAAGUAUUAUAAUCUACAAGCUCCUAGAUAUUCCAAAUUAAUAGCCUACAAAUGAAAAGAUGUGUAUAUUGGUGUAAUGUGGCUGAAGAGCACCAGGUUUCAGUACAGGGCAUUAGUCUACAAGUUGAAGAGGAAUCCUCCAUGACAAAAGAGAAUUUUGAAGCAGGAUCAAAUCUAAAAUAGAAUUCCUCGAUUUUACUUGGAAAAAAAAAGAUGAAAGCUUUUCUGAUUCUAUGAAAGGAAGAAAAAAGUACAAGGACAUAACUGACACAAGACAUGAAGACAAGCAUCAUUUGAAUCGGCAGCUUAUACAGCAGUAGUCCAGAUGAUCAAAUUAGUCCAAGUACAAGGUUGAAAAAGGCAUCUAAUACACCUAAGCCUAGAGAGGUUUGGACAGAGAGGAAUUAGAAAUUAUGGAUCAUAUAAAAUAUAUAAAAUGUUUUAUAUUUUAUAUAUUUCUCAUUUGGAACCUGUUGCUGCUUCAAAAUAUGUUUCGAGUAUUCAUUCAGGAAGUAACACUGAUAUAGGACCACGUCAUUCCAAUGAGGAUUAACACAUCUCUGUUGAUGAUCUGUAUGCCCAGUUAGGAUCCUACCAUAUGUGGCCACUACCAAGUUCGUUAUAUGUUCUGUUUGACAUUCAUGUUGUCCAAGCUCUGGCUGAUGAAUGCACUGUCUGUAAUCUCUCUGAGACAACAACUUUGACUGCUUUGGUGUUUGGAAGUCAUCUACAAGUGAUUGCGUGUGCUGUGUUUCUCCUGUGGUGCUUUGCAGAAAAGGAGUUGUCCCCCCUAUGUCUCAAGCUUCCCUUCUUUUUUGUUCUAACUUUCAGGCUAUGCCUCCUCAUUUUAAAAAUGAAA